rnacentral:rRNA from 1 species
GAUAUCUGUUUGAUUGUCUAUCCUAUGGAUAACCGUGGGAAAUCUAGAGCUAAUACAUGCAGUUUAUGGUCGGGCUUGCUCGGCCAAGCAUUUAUUAGUUUUAACCAAUUACUGCGCAAGCAGUAAGGUGAAUCUAGAUAACUUUGCUGAUCGCACGGCUUUGCCGGCGACGUUUCAAUUGAGUUUCUGCCCUAUCAAUUUGUUGGUAAGGUAUUGGCUUACCAAGGUUGUAACGGGUAACGGGGAAUCAGGGUUCGAUUCCGGAGAGGGAGCUUGAGAAUCGGCUACCACAUCCAAGGAAGGCAGCAGGCGCGCAAAUUACCAAAUCUAGACAGUAGGAGGUGGUGAAGAGAAGUACUAAGUGGUGGUUAUUUACUACCAGCUUGGAAUGGACGUAAUUUAAGCAAUUCGAUGAGUAACUACUGGAGGGCAAGUCCUGGUGCCAGCAGCCGCGGUAAUUCCAGCUCCAGUGGCGUGAUUUAAAGUUGCUGCGUUUAAAACGCUCGUAGUUGGAUCAAGCGGUGUCAGUUUGUAGUCUGCGAUUAGUAUCUGACUGCUUCAGUCGAUGCU